GGCCUGUAAACCGGCUAAGAGGGAAUUAGAGGCUAUUUCGGUAGACCGGGGUGUUUAAUUAUUGAUACCAACGCCCCCUGCUUGAUUUACUCAACGUCCGGAAUUGUCACGUGAUCGAAUUUUCUCUUUUAUUCUCGGCAGUAGUCUAGUUCGGUCGCAGCAAAACAGAUUAGUGGAAUAUGGCCGGUCUUCUUUCAUGGCUCAUAACUGGAACAGGAAGAUGUUUAAUAUCUCUAAGAAAUUGGUAGAAUACGUUAUGAGCAUGUCUUCAGUUCGAAAUGCCUCCAGAGAAAAAAAAAAUUGGCAAAGCAUUCUUAAUAUAAAUAAACGCUUUCAUGGAGUUCUUAUAUCAGAAGAGUCUAAGAAAUUUGUUAAAAAAAAAAGUGAUGAGCAUUCUUGUAAAAUUCUAGCUAGACAAACGAAUUGCGAGACCAUCUAUUAUAACGAUUUCAAGAGCUAAUGUGCCGAAACGGCCGAGCGGACUCAUACCAUCAAAAUCUUGUAAUAUAUGAGUUUGUGUGUCUGUACUGAAAUAUUGUAAGUAUCAUCUCUUUAGGGUGCUUAAGGCCCAAAGCUCCCUUGGGUGCACAUCGGUCGAAAAAGCAUGGUUAAGCUCUUAAUAUCGCUUGGCUUCUCCAAGAUUAUUGCUAUACCAUGUAAGCUUAUGGAAGACUUGGGAAGUUUGGACAAAUACCUCUGAUGGAAGCCAGAAAAAAAAACAUUGUUAAAUUUGCGUUUGAGUGUAGAGAUGAACUUCGGUUGGUUUCCAAAAUUCUGUUAGAGUUCCCGAGCGUAGAUUUAUUCUAAGAAAACAUAUUUUCCGAUCUGUUAAAGUUGAAUAGACAUUGACAGAGGCAACAAGUAGGUUAAAGGCAACUUGUUGCGGUUCCUCUCUAAGUGCUUUUUAAGUUUCUUGGUGGCAGAAAGAAUUCUGAAGAGAAUGUUAAGUUUUGGUAAAAUGUAUGAUUGCGUACGAAAAGAAACUUCGAAUUUAUCAAAACCAAUUGAAUGUAAAAUACUUCAGUGAUAGAUCUGGACGAAUAACAGUUGUACAGCUUCUCCUUUUUUUUACUGAAGAAAUAGCAUGAUUGAUAAUAAAAUUGACUAUGGAAUAAAUAUUUACUCGAAAAUGAUCGAUGCGCACGAAAGAUUUUUGAGAAAUUAUAUAUUUUGUAAGUUUCAUCUAUGAUGUAUCGGAUGGAAAGAGAUUUUCUUUAGUUUAAACGUAACUUGGGUUCGAAACUUUAUCAGUUCUCCAUAUAUCCCCUAAGCUGAAAGUUUUGUAAAGGACUAAAACGACAGAGCAGAUUAAAAAAUUGUAGAAUAAAGCUACGGUUGAGUGUUUUUUAAGUUCUCUUUUUCUACUUAGUACUGGGUCCCAAAAGUUUUUGUUAAUUCCUCAAAACUAUAAUUCCACGUUGUUCCUCUCCCUAGAGCAUUAGAAUGACUUAAGUAAGGCUCUAUCCCUUCGAAUGAAAAAGGGCCAUCUAUUCUAUCUGUUUCCAUUAACUAAAAGAAAAGGAUUUCAGCUCUAUACCAACUUUUUAUGCUAUUGUUGUAUCUAUAUACUCUUAUAGAUAUAUUUUAUCAAAAAAGUUUGAAUUUUCGAUCAUGCAAAACCGACAAAGUUCUACUUCGAAAAUAGCCAAGUUUAACUACAUAAAAUAACUGUAGGCCUACGAUAUUAAAACUGUACGAUUAAAUUUAUAGAGCCUAUUCCAAGCUUAACUCUCAUAAAGUAGAAAGAAAGAAAAAAAAGAAAAAUGUUGGUUCAAUAUCCUUCUCAAGAUCAGUUCUAAAAUAUAGGUCCGAAGAUUUAUGAAUAAAAUUUAUUAUCCCAUCCUUCAACCUUAAUGUGAGUAUCGAUCUAUAAAAAUUUUAAAAUUCUUUUGUGAAGGAAUGUGCAAUAAUUAAUACCAUGUCUAAGUCCGGGUCUACAUCCUGUGACCUAUAUAUGAAUAGAUCUAUAGAAAGUAAACAGAACUAAUUUUUUGAUAGUAAUAUGGCAGAAGAUUUCUACACGAAAGUUUUCUUAGUAGUAAUUCAUAAAUUAAGUCUUUCCCUGAUGGAUAUAUAGUGUAUAUAUAUAUAUAUAUAUAUUUUAUAAAAAUUCUAAAAGGAGCAUUCAUAAGUGGGUUAU
rnacentral:lncRNA from 1 species